rnacentral:lncRNA from 1 species
ACAACCUUUCGUGCAUGACAGAGAGAAAGAAAGAAGGGAUAGCGAGAGAAAUAAUCACAACUGAAGCAUCAAGUCGCUGUUGACAAUGACAUCAGGUCUAAUCUCGGGACUUGCGAACCCCGUGACAUUUAGUGUUUGCUGGUUCUGUGUGAUAUUCACACUAUGAGAAGAUGUAAAACGGUGACAAUCAAUAUCAUCUUUGAGGAAACCGUUGCACACAUGAUGACGUGUUACAGGUGCCCAGUUCUUGCCAGUCGGGACAACGCCCUCCAGCGGGACGUGACACAGCAACACCUGGCAUGUAUACUGAGCUGUGGCUAUUACACGUUUUCCACCAGUACUGCUGACAAAACUGAAUCAGGUAAAACCAGGGUUUAUGACACGUCAUUGGCAGGUGAGCACGAAGAGGGCGUUUUAUGACCAUCGGAAGAAGUCUCUUCUAAACCGAUCUCCAGUCCUAGUGAGCUUGUCCUUCUCAACACAUUUUGAACACAGCAUUCUGCAAACCUUGGAGUGUGGUGGAAAGUAUCGUUUCAAGAAAGCUACCAGAAGAAAAGUCGCUUGAAUUGGCCGGCUGCUUUGCCUUUAUAUUAUAGUCAUCGCUGCUGAUUCGGCGUGAAGCAUACUUCCUGUCAUGACACCUGAUGUUCCGCAACGGGGACACGACGUUUCCAGUGAAGCCGCCAAGUGAUGCAUUUUGAUAUAUAUUGAUAGAUAUUGAUAUUAGCCUUCACUUGAGACGAGACUCUCAUAGCAGACAUAAACCUCUUGUAACUAUACUUCUUCACAACUGCAUGCUUUAAACAGAUAUAUCACCUUUUGUUGACAUUAUCAUCUGUGAAAUAUAUACACCGUAACUUAAUCUUAAAAUCACUUACUUUACUAUGGUAUCAUGUCAGUAGCAAUGUUACACUGAAGAGCAAAGUACUCGUUAGGGGUGUUUUCUAUCUGUAGCUGAGAUUGUCAUACUCAAGACAAAUAAGAAUUGUGUGCUUUCAUAAGUCAAGAAGAGUUAUCUAUUACUUUGCCAUACUUCCUGCUUUGUCAUAAUGGGGUUUGUUCUCAAAUUACUAGGAAAACCAUUAUGCACAAAAGAAAAAAAAAAAAGACAGGUGAAUGUGAUGAGGAAAGUUUAUGCAAGAUGGAGACUUCGAAUUACUGUUCAUGGCUUUUCCAGGUGAAACAAAGUUCCACAAGCAUGGAAUGACAACAAUCAUAUUUGACCAAAACAACUCAGGAAAGAACCAGAAAGUGUGGAGCUGACAGGAGGCGGUGGUGAGCAGGCAGUAGCAAGGCCGAUAUGGAGUCACAUUCAGGGAAGAAAAAGAAAAAAAAGUACCCAAGUCGAGAUCCCACUGCGAUGACCCACAAUGACCCACUACGACAUGAACUGCACAGCUCCGACGCUACUUCACAACCCAGUGCAGUGAACAUCCGAGCUGCUCGCUGACGGGUGCGCGGACUAACGUCUCUCCUGAAUAAUGAGAACUGCAUGUCAAGCUUAAUUUUAAAUCUGUACUUUCCUUACCAAUACGACUAACUUGUUUACAUCUCAGACCGGAAGAAAGAAACGAAAGCAACACGGUGCACAAAUGAAUGAGUGUAAACAUGCUCCCCUGUGAAAAAUUGGUCCGACCUCCCUCCCCUCUGUUUAAUAGCCUCGACCAACCUAUGACAUAAUCCGUUCUAAGAAACAAAAUAGUGCCUGACAUUACCAAUUAAUUUGUUUACAAAACAAUUGUCAAAUUAGAAAACUUACUAACAAAUUCGUUAUUUACAAGCUUGAACAAAUACUAAUAAUCGCAACAUCUUUUUGUGAGCCUGUGCUCAAUGUAUCUUCAUAUGGCAUGAAAGUCGACCACUUCCAACUUGUUUUCAAUAUGUUAAUUUCUUUCUCCUUAAAAAUUUGUAGUUGUUGACAAUAUUAAUUAAAUCGUUUAAGUACAUUAAUUAUAUAAUCGUUUUUAUAUGAAGCAUUGUUAACUGUAGCUGAUGCUCAAUCGGUAACAAUAGUUUGUGGCUGGCUGGCUGGUCGAGGGUGAAAGUGUCUCUCGGUUCACGGACGUAAAUAGAUGAUAGAGCACGAUGUGGUGUACGUGUUAAUCAAAAUUUCUCGUGUUUAGUCGGAAUAUUUACAUGUUACAAUGGUUCAGACUGAUCUUCUUCUGGUGAUCCUCUUGUUUCCAGGAGUGAACCUUAUUGGAGUGGAGUUUACUUGUCCAACAUUCAGAGAUGGUCACAACAUUGUCAGCUGCAAGAUUAACAAAACAGCUGUUGAGGCUGCGGACUGCAAAUCGUUACAAAAUUAUGUGACACUGGCAAAGACAACAUCUUCUCGUCCAAAUCCACGUGUGAUAGGUUUCACUGAACCAUUUAAUCUGUCAAAUUGCAAACCAGUUCAAGAGCCUGUAGCAAACAGCUGCUGGUGUAAUGAAUCAAAUGGAAAAAUCUUUGAUUACAUGUGUGACUUUGUGGCCAACCGCAGUAAAGAUAUCGAUGCAAUGCUUGAAUGCAAGAUUUGCAUUAAACCAAAUAAUUCUUUAGACGUGAAAAUACACGAUAACUGCAAACGUAUGCGCUUUGGUGGCAGUUCAGAUGUCGGACCAAGUUCGGAUGGUAGUUUGAACGUCGGUCUCAUUGUGGGUGCCAUUCUAGCAGUAGCAGCAGCAGCAGCAAUUUUGUCCUAAUAGCUGUCAUCGUUGUUUUGAAAAGACAUCAUUGUCAAAUGUGAAGCAAGUAUACCAGGGCACUUUUCAUAAGAACCUAGCGACUUGAAAGUUGGCUACAAGCUGUUGAAGACAGAUCAGGAAACUGUGUGCGUGCUUUCUCACGUGCGUGCGUGUGUGUGUGUGUGUAAUAUCCUUACGUGGGUGUACAUUGGUGUACUUUUAUUUCUAUUAGAUUUUUUCGGCUCGUUAGUAUUGUCUGCGCUCAUAUGUUUAUGGACAUAUAAACUGUGCAUGUGCAGGUAUGUUUUGCUGGCUCUUACCGAUCGGAACCUUUGCCUCAAUCCCCUACGUGACAGUACAUAAGUCAGCAUUUAAUUUAGUCGCCUGGGUCACUAGAAAAUGUAAUAAUAAGUUAUUUCGAUGAGACACAUACAGUUCACAUCUUUACAAUUAAUAUCCGUUCCCAAACUAAGAAGUCGUCAAUCAAUCUUUCGACAGUACUACAGGCAUGGACUUACGUACCUAACGAACGAUCACGCUACCCUUCACAUGUAUGCAUAACUGGUGAUGCUGAUAACGAUGACCGAAAAUAAAAAUAGUGAACAAUUAUUGCUCAAAGAAAAAAGUUUGUUUUUUUUGCUCGUUUAGCAGGAAUUUAUGCACGAGAGUAGAAGUAGCUCAGUAACCACCCACGUUCCUGAACAAGACGUCCGGUUUGUUGAAGUAGAGAGUGCACCAGAUGAGAAGCACACAUUGAAGUGUAAAAUCACAGCCAGUCAUUCUUAAGAAGCCCAGAAUUGUUUCCAACCCUUGGUAUUCUUGCCGAUAUUUUUUUCCCGACACAACUGGUGUGACUAAAAU